rnacentral:rRNA from 1 species
UCCUACGGGGGGCAGCAGUGGGGAAUAUUGCGCAAUGGGCGAAAGCCUGACGCAGCGACGCCGCGUGAGCGAUGAAGUAUUUCGGUAUGUAAAGCUCUAUCAGCAGGGAAGAAAAUGACGGUACCUGAAGAAGAAGCCCCGGCUAACUACGUGCCAGCAGCCGCGGUAAUACGUAGGGGGCAAGCGUUAUCCGGAUUUACUGGGUGUAAAGGGGGCGCAGACGGCGAUGCAAGCCAGGAGUGAAAGCCCGGGGCCCAACCCCG